rnacentral:rRNA from 1 species
UGACGAGUUUGAUCCUGGCUCAGGACGAACGCUGGCGGCGUGCUUAACACAUGCAAGUCGAACGGUAAGGCCCUUCGGGGUACACGAGUGGCGAACGGGUGAGUAACACGUGGGUGAUCUGCCCUGCACUUUGGGAUAAGCCUGGGAAACUGGGUCUAAUACCGGAUAUGACCAUGGACUUCACGGUUUGUGGUGGAAAGCUUUUGCGGUGUGGGAUGGGCCCGCGGCCUAUCAGCUUGUUGGUGGGGUAAUGGCCUACCAAGGCGACGACGGGUAGCCGGCCUGAGAGGGUGACCGGCCACACUGGAACUGAGACACGGUCCAGACU